UACGUAGGAUGCUAGCGUUGUCCGGAUUUACUGGGCGUAAAGCGCGCGCAGGCGGCACUGUAAGUAAGGUGUGAAAUAUCCCUGCUCAACGGGGAGGGUGCACUUUAGACUGCAGAGCUAGAGGACGGUAGAGGGGGGUGGAAUUGCUGGUGUAGCGGUGAAAUGCGUAGAGAUCAGCAGGAACACCCGUGGCGAAGGCGGCCCCCUGGGCCGAACCUGACGCUGAGGCGCGA
rnacentral:rRNA from 1 species